AUUGAACGCUGGCGGCAGGCCUAACACAUGCAAGUCGAGCGGAUGAAGGGAGCUUGCUCCUGGAUUCAGCGGCGGACGGGUGAGUAAUGCCUAGGAAUCUGCCUGGUAGUGGGGGAUAACGUCCGGAAACGGGCGCUAAUACCGCAUACGUCCUGAGGGAGAAAGUGGGGGAUCUUCGGACCUCACGCUAUCAGAUGAGCCUAGGUCGGAUUAGCUAGUUGGUGGGGUAAAGGCCUACCAAGGCGACGAUCCGUAACUAGCCUGAGAGGGUGAUCAGUCACACUGGAACUGAGACACGGUCCAGACUCCUACGGGAGGCAGCAGUGGGGAAUAUUGGACAAUGGGCGAAAGCCUGAUCCAGCCAUGCCGCGUGUGUGAAGAAGGUCUUCGGAUUGUAAAGCACUUUAAGUUGGGAGGAAGGGCAGUAAGUUAAUACCUUGCUGUUUUGACGUUACCAACAGAAUAAGCACCGGCUAACUUCGUG
rnacentral:rRNA from 1 species